GGCAGUUCAGCGGUUAAGACGUUGGACUACUACUUGGAAGGUCGUGAGUUCAAGUCCCAGUACUGCCA